GAUGAACGCUAGCGGCAGGCCUAAUACAUGCAAGUCGAACGGUGUCUUCGGACAUAGUGGCGCACGGGUGCGUAACACGUAUGCAACCUACCUUACAUUGGGGGAUAGCCUUUCGAAAGGGAGAUUAAUACCGCAUAAGACAGUAGCUGGGCAUCCAGCAGCUGUUAAAGAUUUAUCGAUGUAAGCUGGGCAUGCGUCCAAUUAGCUAGUUGGUGAGGUAACGGCUCACCAAGGCAAUGAUUGGUAGGGGAACUGAGAGGUCAAUCCCCCACACUGGCACUGAGAUACGGGCCAGACUCCUACGGGAGGCAGCAGUAGGGAAUAUUGGGCAAUGGACGCAAGUCUGACCCAGCCAUGCCGCGUGCAGGAUGAAGGCGUUAUGCGUUGUAAACUGCUUUUAUACAGGAAGAAACGACUCUUGCGAGAGGCAUUGACGGUACUGUAUGAAUAAGCACCGGCCAACUACGUGCCAGCCGCCGCGGUAAUAC
rnacentral:rRNA from 1 species